rnacentral:hammerhead_ribozyme from 1 species
ACAUUGCUGAAGAGUCCCAUAAUGGAACGAAACGUCUGUCCAAUAC